rnacentral:rRNA from 1 species
CUUUACUGUAACUUGAAAUUGAAAUUGGACUUUACUUGCGCAGUAUAGGUGGGAGGCGUUGAGUUUAUUCUUGCGGGAAUUUAGGAGCCAUCAGUAAAAUACCACUCUGGUAAUGUUAGAUUUCUAACUUUGUAUCAUAAUCUGGUCAAAGGACAGUUUCAGGCGGGCAGUUUGACUGGAACGGUCACCUCCUAAAUGGUAACGGAGGCAUACAAAAGUUUCCUCUGAACGUGUAGAAAUCGUAUCUAGAGUAUAAAGGCAUAAAGAAGCUUGACUGUGAGACUUACAAGUCGAGCAGGGACGAAAGUCGGUCUUAGUGAUCUGACGGUGCUGAGUGGAAAGGCCGUCACUCAACGGAUAAAAGUUA